GUGAAGUAAGAUAGCCUGUAGGCUUGAUGGUCGAGUGAGUGAUUGCUUGAACUCGAAGUAAGAUAGCCCGUAGGCUUAAUGGUCGAGUGAGUGAUUGCUCGAACUCAAAGUAAGAUAGCCUGUAGGCUUGAUGGUCGAGUGAGUGAUUGCUUGAACUCGAAGUAAGAUAGCCCGUAGGCUUAAUGGUCGAGUGAGUGAUUGCUCGAACUCGAAGUAAGAUAGCCCGUAGGCUUAAUGGUCAAGUGAGUGAUUGCUCGAACUCUAAGUAAGAUAGCCUUUAGGCUUAAUGGUCGAGUGAGUGAUUGCUCGAACUCGAAGUAAAAUAGCCUUUAGGCUUAAUGGUCGAGUGAGUGAUUGCUCGAACUCGAAGUAAGAUAGCUCAUAGGCUUAAUGGUCGUGUGAGUGAUUGCUCGAACUCUAAGUAAGAUAGCCCGUAGGCUUAAUGGUCGAGUGAGUGAUUGCUCGAACUGGAAGUAAUAUUGCUCGUAGGCUUAAUGGUCGAGUGAGUGAUUGCUCGAACUCAAAGUAAGAUAACCCGUAGGCUUGAUGGUCGAGUGAGUGAUUGCUCGACCUCGAAGUAAGAUAGCCUUUAGGCUUGAUGGUCGAGUGAGUGAUUGCUAGAAUGCGAAGUACGAUAGCCCGUAAGUUUGAUGGUCGAGUGAAUGACUGCUCGAACUCGAAGUAAGAUAGACUAUAGGCUUAGUGGUCGAGUGAGUGAUUGCUCAAACACGAAGUAAGAUAGCCCGUAGGCUUGAUGGUUGAGUGAGUGAUUGAUCGACCUCGAAGUAAGAUAGCCCUUAAGUAAUAUAGCUCGUCGGCUUAAUGGUCGAGUGAGUGAUUGCUAGAACACGAAGUAAUAUAGCCCGUAGGCUUGAUGGUUGAAUGAGUGAUUGCUCGACCUCGAAGAAAGAUAUCCCAAAGGCUUGAUGGCCGAGUAAGUUCUUGCUCGAACUCGAAGUAAGAUAGCCCGUAUGCAUGAUGGUCGAGUGAGUUAUUGCUCGAACUUGAAGUAAGAUAGCCCGAAGGCUUGAUGGUCGAUUGAGUGAUUUUUCGACCUCAAAGGAAGAUGGCCCAUAGGCUUGGUGGUCAAGUGAGUGAUUGCUCAACCUCGAAGUAUGAUAGCCCGUAGGCUUGAUGGUCUAGUGAGUGAUUGCUCGAAUUUGAAGUAAGAUAGCCCGUAUUCUUGAUGGUCGAGCGAGUGAUUUCUCGAACUCAAAGUAAGAUAUCCCGUAGCAUUAAUGGUAGAGUGAGUGAUUUCUCGAACUCAAAGUAAGAUAGCCCAUAGGCUUAAUGGUCGAGUGAGUGAUUGCUCGAACUCCAAGUAAGAUAGCCUGUAGGCUUGAUGGUCGAGUGAGUGAUUGCUUGAACUCGAAGUAAGAUAGCCCGUAGGCUUAAUGGUCGAGUGAGUGAUUGCUCGAACGCGAAGUAAGAUAGCCCGUAGGAUUGAUGGUCGAGUGAGUGAUUGCUCGAACUCGAAGUAAGAUAGCCCGUAGGC
rnacentral:lncRNA from 1 species